ensembl:lncRNA
AUGUUUUACAUUGAAUUUGAGGGGUUUUUUUUACUUAAUGGCAGAAUUGAAAACCAAACAGGCAGAUCACAACCACAGUAUGACCAAUGUGCUGUAACUGAACCAGCACAACAUUUAAUUUCCUUGGUGGCCAGAGUAAUCCCCGAGGAAAAUGCAAGGCAGGGUCAGACUCAGAGCCAGAUCCAGCAGUCAGGAAGACCUACUGUGGAACAUGAAAUGGCUAGGGAAAACGUGGAGGUGUUUGGUCGCUUCUAA